GCCCGUGAAUCAGGUCAGGCCCGGAAGGGAGCAGCCUUCAGCGGCAUCGCUCGUGCGCCGCAGAUCGCCUGGCCGUC
rnacentral:SRP_RNA from 1 species